CUUUCCUCCAAUUUUACUGAAUUAUACUUUGGUGAAGUCCAGUAAUUCAAGUGUUUGGCUAACAAUCAUCAAGGCCACAAAAACCCAGCCUCUGCUCUUGGCAGUAUCAGGAACUUCAUAGAAUACAUCACUUUCAAAUUGCAGCUGCAAAUGGUCUUGUUAAAGGUAUCAUCAGACAAACUUAAAGAUGAUCUGACAAUGUCAUUUUCCAAGGGACUGAUAGAAAGAUUGAGUAUCAUGGAAUCAGAACAGACAACAGAGAAUCAGAUUUGGACUGAAUCAGAAUAAACAGGCAAUGCAGACACUUGUUCUCUGAAUCACAAUCAAGACUCAGUGCUGGAACAGAUUUGAGGAAUGUAUACAAUUCUUAUCUAAACUGAUGUCUGAUAUUUAACCAGGUUAAAGUUUUUUCUUUUAUUUUAAUGUGAGAAAAAUUUAACAGAUAAUACAUUUUCCCUUCACUACUCAAUGUCUCAGUUAGAAUUUCAUCUGAAUUGCAUUUAUUCAAUUCAUUUUAUUUCUUGACUUGGUGGAUUUAAUAUUCCUGGCAUGCUUUGAAAACAUGGCUGAAUGCAUUUAUGAAUGAAAAUUGACAAAUCCUAGUUCUGUUUCUUAAAUACAUUAUUUGUCACAAGCUUUAGAAGAAAAUCACUAAUUAUUUAAUGUGGUUGUAUUUUCAAAUCCCUGAAAAGUGUUGAAUGCUAUAUACCAAACAUAUAUUGGCAUAUCAAAUGUUGCCCAAGAGUCAAGCAUGACUUUUAUAAGAAGUUGCAAGAAAAGAUUGAAAAUAUUUGUAAAAAUGAAUAUUUUGUCACUCUUUAAGAACCAGAAUGCUUUGAUCUACAUUUGUAGAUUUCUAGUUUGGAUAAGUUAUUUGGAGAAAUAAACAAAAUUGUUUUAUUGAAAAAGUUUUAUGUUAAUUUCAUAGUUGACUGUUUCCAUGGAAAAUAAAAAUAUUUUUGACUCUUACCAUAAACUCUUAGAUUUAAUGUCACCUUUGGUUGUUUAUCUGUACAUUUCUUCCUAUUCAAUCUCCAGACAUAUCUCCAAAUAUAUCACGGUAUAAAAAGUAGAAAACACUGUAGAA
rnacentral:lncRNA from 1 species